CCUACGGGCGGCAGCAGUGAGGAAUAUUGGUCAAUGGACGAGAGUCUGAACCAGCCAAGUAGCGUGAAGGAUGACUGCCCUAUGGGUUGUAAACUUCUUUUAUAAAGGAAUAAAACGAGGCACGUGUGCCCUUUUGCAUGUACUUUAUGAAAAAGGAUCGGCUAACUCCGUGCCAGCAGCCGCGGUAAUACGGAGGAUCCGAGCGUUAUCCGGAUUUAUUGGGUUUAAAGGGGGCGUAGAUGGGUUGUUAAGUCAGUUGUGAAAGGUUGGGGCUCAACCGUAAAAUUGCAAUUGAAACUGGCAGUCUUGAGUACAGUAGAGGUAGGCGGAAUGCGUGGUGUAGCGGUGAAAUGCUUAGAUAUCACGAAGAACCCCGAUUGCGAAGGCAGCUUGCUAGACUGAGACUGACAUUGAUGCUCGAAAGUGUGGGUAUCAAACAGGAUUAGAUACCCUUGUAGUC
rnacentral:rRNA from 1 species